rnacentral:lncRNA from 1 species
GCCGCCUGCAGGUCCCAGGGGACGGAACCCAAGCCCGAAUGAGACCCACUUCCUAGCGGGAUGCCCGGAGGGCGAGGCCAGGCCCCCUCACCAUUCUUUUCGGUGAGCAGCCCAGGGUCUGGGACAUCAUAGCCAUCCGCAUCAUACAGGUCCGAGUCCAGAACUAGGUUGUAGCCUUCUGCCUCCCACACCUCUGCCUCCAUUUCAGCAACUGCGGUCCCAGAGCCCAACAGCUCCCAGGACUUAGCGGUCACGGCCCGCAGCGGCAGUUGCUAGGAUACCAGAUGCCGCCGGCCACUCCCACACCGCAGGCCCCACCCCCACACCGCAUCAGGUCCACACUAAGUCACAGAAACUUUUAUUGGAAAGAAACGAGCUGCAGCAAAGUGACACUCAGUGCACGCGGCCAAAUGGGCGAGGUGGGGGUACAGGUGGGCAC